AAGGCGGCUUCCUGGACCGACACUGACGCUGAGGCGCGAAAGCUAGGGGAGCAAACGGGAUUAGAUACCCCGGCUAUCCGAGCCCUAAACGAUGAGAACUGGGUGUAGAGGGUAUGAACCCCUUCUGUGCCGAAGCUAACGCAUUAAGUUCUCCGACCUGGGGAGUACGGUCGCAAUGCUGAAACUCAAAGGAAUUGACGGGGGCCCGCACAAGCGGUGGAGCAUGUGGUUCAAUUCGACGCAACGCGAAGUAACCUUACCGGGGUUUGAACCGCACGGGACAGCUGUAGCAGAUACGGUCUUCCUUCGGGACCCGUGUAGAGGUGCUGCAUGGCUGUCGUCAGCUCGUGUCGUGAGAUGUUGGGUUAAGUCCCGCAACGAGCGCAACCCUUGCCUCCUGUUGCUAACAGGUAAUGCUGAGCACUCUGGAGGAACUGCCGGCGAUAAGCCGGAGGAAGGUGGGGAUGACGUCAAGUCCUCAUGGCCUUUAUGCCCCGGGCUACACACGUGCUACAAUGGCUGGUACAAAGGGUCGCAAAACCGCGAGGUGGAGCUAAUCCCAAAAAGCCAGUCCCAGUUCGGAUUGCAGUCUGCAACUCGACUGCAUGAAGUUGGAAUCGCUAGUAAUCGCGGAUCAGCACGCCGCGGUGAAUACGUUCCCGGGCCUUGUACACACCGCCCGUCACAUCACGA
rnacentral:rRNA from 1 species